GAGAGUUUGGCCGAGUGGUCUAAGGCGUCAGAUUUAGGUUCUCAGGGUAAAUUACCCAACUACUUAAAUUCUCUGAUAUCUUCGGAUGCAUGGGUUCGAACCCCAUAGCUCUCA
rnacentral:tRNA from 1 species